UACGAAGGGGGCUAGCGUUGCUCGGAAUCACUGGGCGUAAAGGGUGCGUAGGCGGGUCUUUAAGUCAGGGGUGAAAUCCUGGAGCUCAACUCCAGAACUGCCUUUGAUACUGAGGAUCUUGAGUUCGGGAGAGUGAGUGGAACUGCGAGUGUAGAGGUGAAAUUCGUAGAUAUUCGCAAGAACACCAGUGGCGAAGGCGGCUCACUGGCCCGAUACUGACGCUGAGGCACGAAAGCGUGGGAGCAAACAGG
rnacentral:rRNA from 1 species